rnacentral:rRNA from 1 species
AUACGGAGGAUCCGAGCGUUAUCCGGAUUUAUUGGGUUUAAAGGGAGCGUAGGCGGACUAUUAAGUCAGCUGUGAAAGUUUGCGGCUCAACCGUAAAAUUGCAGUUGAUACUGGUCGUCUUGAGUGCAGUAGAGGUAGGCGGAAUUCGUGGUGUAGCGGUGAAAUGCUUAGAUAUCACGAAGAACUCCGAUUGCGAAGGCAGCUUACUGGACUGUAACUGACGCUGAUGCUCGAAAGUGUGGGUAUCAAACAGGAUUAGAUACCCUGGUAGUCCACACAGUAAACGAUGAAUACUCGCUGUUUGCGAUAUACGGCAAGCGGCCAAGCGAAAGCAUUAAGUAUUCCACCUGGGGAGUACGCCGGCAACGGUGAAACUUAAAGGAAUUGACGGGG